GCAGACUACACGCCUGGGCCUAUGCGUUGGGCUGUUUGCCGUGGGUUCAGAAGAGGCGCCAUUUCUGGCCAGAACAACCAGCGUGCCGGUCUCAUUUCUAGCAGCGAUCAGAUUCUUACCAUGGGCCUGCACUGACGUCAGUAAUAAACAAUAAUAAGAUUGUAAACUACGGCUCUUUACAGUAAAGUUAUGCUUCUUGGUCGCGAUAUAAAUCUAAUAGCUAUUACAUCAGCAUCCACGGCUAUAUAUCACGUUUACCUUUUACACUCACAGUCUUGUACGCCUUCACCAAAAUGGCCAGAUUUAUUAUUACUGGUUAACCAUGGCCCUUAUUACGUCACGAAUGACUAAUCGCUAAGACAGGAAGGCGAGUGAGGACAGAGGUGACGCCCCCUACGGGCGCAGGGGUCAGGGAGGGACACACAGUGGCAGCUGCUUCUCGAGGCCUCUCCUCUCCACCAGUGUGGACACAGACACCAACAGGGUCUGAGCAUAUGCUCAGGUGCUAAAGGGGAGGUCAUGUGACCGGUCCAUUGGCUCAGCCAGCACGCUGACUUCCGAAUGAACGACUGCUAUCCCCGAGUUUGCUUUGCUAAGUCACCGCUCCUCAUUCCGUGGCCUGACUUCAUCAGCCAUGGGAAGGAGGCUCCGGAGCUCCUCCGUGCAGGGACUGUGUCUCGGAACAUGGCCAGCAUGUCUGGUUUGGCUCUGCAGGUUUUCGUGAGACAAAGGGGUAAAGGAUGAAUGAUAAUCACCUAAGACCAAAACCACAUCACUAUCAACGGAGAGAGAUGGCGCAGUGAGAUGGGCUCUCUCUAGCAAACCUGAUGACUUGAAUUCAAUACCAGGGACCCACUGGAUGGAAAGGCAGAGUGGACUCCUGCAUUGUCCUCUGACUUACGCACACGCAUGCGCCCACCCACUCACCCGCCCCCACAAUAUUAAAAAAAAUCUUAAUUUCAUCAUAUUAUUACCACUGAUAUUAUUUGCACCUUGAGUCUCUUACAAGAGGUGGUAAAAUGGUCCCCUAAUGAGUCCCAUAGCCCCUCUGUCAACUUCCCCAAGGUAUGAAGACCUGCUUGGGGAGUAUCUUACUCUUCAGGGAGAAAAGCCAAAGCCUGGAGACCGCGAGAUACUCUUCCCCGGUGCUCUGAAUCAGCAGAGCAGAAAGACACAGACCCCAGCGAUGCCCACGGUGUGGUACAGGGCUGUCAAUACCCCCGGUGGCCCUCAGAGAGCUGUGGCAGACAACACAAGGUGGUGACCCCUGACCCAGAAGGAGAUCAGACUCCUCCAUUCAAGGUGUACCCUGAAACUGGCCAGGCAGGGGCCACUAUGCCCAUGGUGUGUUUCUCUCAGUGGUGUUCCUAGCACAGGGAGGGCAGCUGGGGGCGGGCACAGAUGAGUUUGCAGGAGCUCAGCUUAUAUUUCUUCCUCUCAACCCUGGCACCUUUUCAGGAGAAGCAGGUGACUUGUCCUCACUGUGAGCCGUGUCCCAGCACUCAGGGGGCUGGGGACAGAUAGGGAAGGGGUGUGACUGGAGGGAAAGACCCGUGUGCAGACUUCUAAGACCAUGAAGCCCAGAGUGAUUCCUGCCUUGGCACCUGCUCCAGAACCUUCCUGAAGGAAGAAAGAAAGGAAGAAGAAGAAGAAAAAAAAAAAGGUUGUCUUCAUUAAGAGCAUUAAUAUUCAUGCGGCAUGGUAAUUUUGACACGGAAAAGGUCUCUGUAACCUUUUCUUGUGUGAGGAUUUUUACUUCUCAAGGAAAUUACAGUCCAGCAACGGCUUAAUUACUGCUGGAUUCUUUCGGCAGGAGGAGCUGUCAGUUUGGGAUUGCGGGAGAUGUCACAUGAGGAACAACCGGCUGGGGGACAGCAGGAAGGACCUGGCCCCCACGGGCCAGCGGGCGGGCGGGUGGGGCCCACGCGCCUUCCCCAUUAGUUCUAAUUUAGCAGCCGGCUUCCCCCAGUGCCGGGUCAUUUAUUAUUGGGAUGCAGGGCACAGCUUGAAUUAAUAAUCCAUUUUUCACCC
rnacentral:lncRNA from 1 species